rnacentral:rRNA from 1 species
GUCGAGCGGAACGAGUUAUCUGAACCUUCGGGGGACGAUAACGGCGUCGAGCGGCGGACGGGUGAGUAAUGCCUAGGAAAUUGCCCUGAUGUGGGGGAUAACCAUUGGAAACGAUGGCUAAUACCGCAUAAUACCUACGGGUCAAAGAGGGGGACCUUCGGGCCUCUCGCGUCAGGAUAUGCCUAGGUGGGAUUAGCUAGUUGGUGAGGUAAUGGCUCACCAAGGCGACGAUCCCUAGCUGGUCUGAGAGGAUGAUCAGCCACACUGGAACUGAGACACGGUCCAGACUCCUACGGGAGGCAGCAGUGGGGAAUAUUGCACAAUGGGCGCAAGCCUGAUGCAGCCAUGCCGCGUGUGUGAAGAAGGCCUUCGGGUUGUAAAGCACUUUCAGUCGUGAGGAAGGUAGUGUAGUUAAUAGCUGCAUUAUUUGACGUUAGCGACAGAAGAAGCACCGGCUAACUCCGUGCCAGCAGCCGCGGUAAUACGGAGGGUGCGAGCGUUAAUCGGAAUUACUGGGCGUAAAGCGCAUGCAGGUGGUUUGUUAAGUCAGAUGUGAAAGCCCGGGGCUCAACCUCGGAAUAGCAUUUGAAACUGGCAGACUAGAGUACUGUAGAGGGGGGUAGAAUUUCAGGUGUAGCGGUGAAAUGCGUAGAGAUCUGAAGGAAUACCGGUGGCGAAGGCGGCCCCCUGGACAGAUACUGACACUCAGAUGCGAAAGCG